rnacentral:lncRNA from 1 species
CCACCAAACCCCAGCCAAACCACUGAAGCCCCUCAUCUGAGCCAUUUGUUUCAGAAAAUGGAAUAGGACCCCAUUUGAUAUCCUGGAGAUCAAGACUAAUAGGAUGGUGAUUGAAGUGACUCAAAGCAAGACCUUUUGAUUAACUUCAGCAAUAUGAGUUUAAAACUGGAAUGUACAAGAAGUCUAUUCAUUUUAGAGAAUACAUCAUUUUUACAAAGAUUGGACCAAGUCCAUCUGCUGCCCACAAGAGGGAGGUCAAGAAGGCCAAAUCUAUUGAGAAUGUUCCGAAAUUCAUUAAUAUAUGUUUUUUUAUAGGAAAAGAAACUUUAUGAAGAGAAGAGGAAAAAUACAAAAGGGAGAAUAAGACAUCCUCCUAAAGAAAUCACCCAAAAAAAAUUAACAAACAUAAAUAUACAAAAUGACUAAGUUGUUAUUGAGUAAAGAUGAUAGCCUCCCAACUCAAAUGGAGAUUGGAAAUUGCUAGCCCAGAGAAAUGUCUGUGCAUAUUGGCUGGCCCAUAAGGUUACCAAAAAAAUCAUUCUUUCCCAUAGCUCAUUAGUAGAUAUAUGUGUAUCAUCAAAGAUUCUUUGGUUUUUCACAAGCCAUAAUAUCCAUUAAUAGAAGAUGACCCCUCUGUGUAAUAGUUUCGGUUCUUUCUUAUCCCAUUGCUCUUUUAUGCAUACAUAUAAGAAGGUCUCAACUGUAGGAGUAGUGACCCAAUUAAGUCUAAACAUGUUAAACAAUCUUGUCCACAUCUUCCGAGCUAUCUCACAUAGAGGAAUGAAUGUCAAAUCCUCUAAAGCAUGGGACACAUCCAAAUAUUGACCGGUGUGAGGGUGAUGAAUUUGUAGCAUCUCGUUGGUAUUUAGUAUUUCAUGCAUAACUGUCCAAGUAAGCACUUUUACCUUUGAUAGAACAAGGGCUUUCGAGAACACUUUAGCAAUGCGAAACUAGCUUAAUGGAGAGGUUUUGACAGGAUAUUCAAAGAAAGACUUGCAAGUUUAUAUCCCUAAAGGUUCCAGAGACCAAGUCCUGGGCUCUGGGAAGAUGGGUGGACUGGAUCCAGUAAUUCCAAUAGGCUUUGCAAUUCAAGGGACUCCCAGUUAGAAUUUGUAGCAUCUCGUUGGUAUUUAGUAUUUCAUGCAUAACUAUCCAAGUAAGCACUUUUACCUUUGAUAGAACAAGGGCUUUCGAGAACACUUUAGCAACGCGAAACUAGCUUAAUGGAGAGGCUUUGACAAGAUAUUCAAAGAAAGACUUGCAAGUUUAUAUUCCUAAAGGUUCCAAGGACCAAGUCCUGGGCUCUGGGAAGAUGGGUGGACUGGAUCAAGUAAUUCCAAUAGGCUUUGCAAUUCAAGGGACUCCUAGUUAGAAAGGCUACAGGUGAAGUGGAAGUUUCAUGCCAUGCUUCCCUCGCUGGUGGAACUGAAUUGUGAGACUAGGAUAUUAUGUCUAGAUGAUAGGUUGAGCAAGUGAGGGCAUUGAAAGUUGAUCACCCACUCAGGUGUGUUCCCUAAUACAUCUUACGAAAGCACUUUUGCAAGAUCUCUCGUAAUCAUCAAGGACUAUAUUAAAAUUCCCCCA